UUACAAGGCCCUAGGGUCUAUAUUUAUACCCUGCUCAAAGAGCUACAACCAGACACGAUUAGAAUUCGAAUUCCAAAUUACACGGAAUCCGUAUACAAAUUGAUGCAAAUAAUUAAGGAAAUAACAAAACUAUCCCUCGUGACAAACCGAAACUCCUCCACAUAACGAUCGGCAGCUUCCGGACUCCCUCUUUGCAUCAUCGGCAGACCCUUUGCCAUAGUCAUCGGCAGACUUUCUUAUCUAGCCAUCGGCACCAUAUUACUGCCUGCGGACUUAGUCACGUUCAACUUCUCCCUCAUCGGCAACCAUCCUCAUCGGCAACCCACUUUGUAAACAUCGUACUGCCACCUUAUCCUGCCAUCCUAGACACGUGCCCAAAAACGGUGUCAACAAGACCGUAGCACCGAGUCAAGUGUGGAGAGAGAAGAUAGUUAUAGCCACCGGAACCACCGACUACGUCACCUAGCGAAUCCCAGGACAAUUGAAAACAUAAGGAGUCCCGUUCGGAAGACUUAAAAACACCGAACGCCUUGCCAAGAGGUAAACUUGGUAGUUAUCCUUUUUCUUUCAAUUAUUCAAUUAUAGUUUGCUUAGUUAAUCAGGUUCAUGCUAUCUUGAAAAGAAAAUAAAAAUGUUAAAAAAAUAGUAAGCCCCAUGUGAGUAUGCUCAUGGUAUAAAACCCAUAGGUACAUUCACUGUGGUGGCAUAAAAAUAAAAUAAAUAAGUUUUCAUCUUACAGUAAAAAUAUAAAAAUAAUAAGUGCAUGAUCCUUCUAAAUAAGUAAUAUUUAUUAAGGAGGCUCAACAUGAUAAAGGCUAGAUAUUUAUGCUAACACUUAACCAGUUCCACAAAGCUUUGUUGUCUAUUUGAGCUCCACAGAAUUCAAGGAUCAAAGAAGACUAGCAGACAGAGGACAUCCGAAUCGCUGUCAGGGUGCUGCCGACUUUCAAAUACACCUCCACCACCUGCUAGUUACAUCAGAAGUAAUUACGUCAAAAUCCAGCUUGGGGGAAAGCACCCCCAUUUAUCCAGCUAAGUGUUUCUACUCGCGUUUAUACUUUACUCAAAUAAUAAAAGAUGCAUAAUCAUGAAAACCCAAAUAAAGAUUUUGUGCUUUUAUAUAUAUAUCUUUGCUUAGUUUGCUAAACAAAUAAAUAAAGUUUGCUAUCAACCUUCAUGAUAAGCUCUCACAUGGAAAUGAUAAAUAGUUGCUUUGCCAGGUACCUAGUUGUCAAAAUUGAAAUCUCUCUCAAGUUUAGGCAUGACUGUUAUGAAGUAAGAUUUGCUCUAAACCUGAACCUGUGGGAAGAGUACUUGAUCUAAAGUCUAAGUCGUUAACGGAUAUGAUAUGGAAAGGUUGAGCUGCUGUUUAUCUGUUCCUAGAGAUGCUAGAAUUUUAGAGAAUUUUAUCUUUGAAAAAUCUUUAAAAUAACACAUGAUGAGUUCAUAUAUGAUGAGAGUUUAAAUUCCUACCACAGCCAUAUAUACAUGCUUGCUAGACUUUGAGCCACAUAUUUACUUUACUGCUUAUGAGCAUUGAGUGUGGUCAAGCUGUGUAGACCCUUAGGAGCUUGUCAUGUGGUUAAAAUCAAGAGUCACUUGCACGUUCACUCAUACAUGCUACUUCUACUCCGGAAGUACCAUCCACAUAUAUCCACUCAUUUCCAUCUCCAGAUUCACCCAAAAUUAUUCUACUCCUAAUCUGGGAGAGAAUAGCCAAAAAUAUUAUCCUAUCCCUGUUAUUCCCUGUGAAAUAAAUGCUCGAGUUAUCUUGGUUACUACCACUUGCUAUAUUAUUUAUGGAGAUGAGUGCUCUAAAAAAAGAAAAAAAUAAUAUACGAGGAAAUAAAAAGGGGCAAGUGCCCGGAACCUCAAAGAAAAGAAAAAGUGAGACGAGAGGUAAAAAUGGACAAGUGUCCGACAGUAGAAUUAGGGGUACAAGAUACCCACCUGAGAGGAAAGAAAAAGAAAAUAUAGAGCAUCUCAUUCUCCCCAAAAAGCUUCAAAGUGCAAGAAAGGUAUGUAUCCCCUUAAAAGAGCAAAAGUAGAAUUAGACUUCCACCAUCAUCAUCACCAUACACCAUUCAUUCGCCACACAUGCACAUCUUGAUUUGACUUAUUGACUUGUUCUUCUGGAUCCAUGGUUUGACUAUGCAAUAAAUGUCUUGUAAGUAUGUAUUAGCUGUCUCCCACCUAUGAGCUCCAGAUAUCAGAACCUUAUUAGGGUAGGGUGAGAGAGAAGGCAAUAUCACUAUGCCUCAUACCACAAAUACCACAUACUUUGAGAGAAGGCAUAUACCAUUACUGCCUUGGUAAGGAUCUAGAAAUACCACAAAAGAGAGAUCUGAGAGAGUGAUAUAAGGAAUCUCUGAGUUUUAUUUGAAAAUCUACAAAAACCCCAGAGCUAUAGCUGAUCAAGAAUAAGAGACAUGACGCUUGACUUGACCGUUCUAUCUUUUAACUGCUCAAGACACAAGUGACGGUUACAAGCCCCAUGGUGAAAGGUAAAAUGAGUAAGUUUUAAGUCUUAACAGUUUAUUCUAACUCAGAGAUGAGAUCUUGUUUGAAUGCGUGUGUACCUUUAAGGCAUGAAACCACUGCAGAAACUCUUGAGUCCAUCCUUGCUCAGGGACGAGCAAGAGGUAAGCUUGGGGGAGUUUGUUGACUGUCCUUAAGUAUCAAAUUUAAUUAUCAAAUAAACAAAGAAAAUGAUCCAAAUGAAAUCAACAUCUAGACUUAGGGUUUUAUUUGACAGAAUUCCAUGAGUUUUGGUGUUUGUCUAUUUCUGCAGGGGGUUAUCAGGAAAUAAGGAAGAAAGGCCCACAUGUCAGGAUUACAUAGAGAUAUCAACGCAUCGCGCAAUUUUCUACCAUCUAGAAGACUCCAGAAGGCACGAGACCGAAGGAGAGGCGAAACGGGGCCAGGACCUGGGCGCCCGCCCACCUGCUGAGCCCAAUCAGGACUCUUUCUCUCAGGAGAUCUCCACCGACCUAUUGGAUUCAGAAUAACGUAGUACCACCUCGCCUACCGACCCAAAAACGCAUAGAGGAGGAGGACUAUAUAAGGAGACCCCCUGGCCCCUGGAGGAGACAAGAAGUUAUCAUAGAGAUUGAGGGGUGCCCUCGAAGGAAAACCUCUUCUCUAAAUAAUAUUUCUUUUUAGGCUUAGCAACCAAUGUAAGUAGAAAUAGAUCUUCUAGUUUCUACUAGAAUGAGAGAGAUAGAGUGGAGGUGUGGAUCGGAGGAAGGCCGGCCUGUCGGUGUCUACUCCGAGUUGUACCUGCGGGAUCAAGUCUCCUAACCCGAGGCUUGCUUCUAAGAUUCUUCAGUAAUUUGACUUCUAAUUCUAGUAAUUUCUUGUUUUAUUGUUCUUUGGUUUAUGAGUUUACUUUAAUCCUCUUCCGGUUGAGUAUUAGAGUAAUCACUUGCUAGCGUAAACGUGGUGUUUAGGCUAGGGUACUCAUAGAUAUCCCCUGACUAGCUGGACCGUGGUAGUAGCGAGGAACGUGACAUUUUCGAGUUACCUUUGCAGAUCACAUCUCGUUAGCAGGACGGGUAGGUUUAUAGGUGCGGGUCGAACAUCUUUUGUGUUGUCUAGAUUCCGUGAGCCUCCCCAAUAGAACAGUAGAUCAUCCUUAUCAAGGUUAGAACGAGACUACGGUUGCAGUCUUCUCUAUACAUCGCUCACAUCGAGAAACAUUCUUUGUAGCCUAAAGGGAUAGUAGCAAUAGAUUUGGUUAGUCAGAUGCACCCUUUCUCCCAGUGGUAAAAAUAUAAAUACGAUAAUAUCCGUGCGCUUGCGGAUCAAUUCCUUAUUGCGUUACCAAAUAUCAACACGCUUGCGGAUUUUUCUGUUUGCGUUUAAAAUACCCAACAAUGGUGCUUAGGUUAAAAUGCCCUUCUAAAUCAAAUUAGACACAGUGUCUAGGUUGAUUUUUAAGCCGAUAGUAUGCUAUAGUAGAUAUGGGAUAUUUUGUUGGACAAACCCCUACAGGAAAACUUUCAAUAUCAACGUGGGAAGUCCCGAGAUAAACUCGCAUUGGAGAUGAAGAAAAUGACACAUGAAGUUUAACAAUUUGCACAAGAAAGACGUGGCUCAUAAGAGAUGAUUCAUGGAGGGUGCCACAAACACGAUGCACAACCGCUAAGAAAGGAAAGCUUCCACAAGGUGAUACUGUACCGUCACUCUUCAAGUAAUGUAACACCUUAAGGUACUUGACUAUCGCUUUUAUAAGCUUCUCCUUGGUUCUAGCAUUCACAUAAAUAAAGAGACAAACAUGUAUCAUUUAUAACUCCAGAUUAACCAACUCAAUUAAUUCAACAUGUUUAGUCCUUUAAUCUUUGUUCCUAGUACUACCUUCGUGAUCCCACGCUCCUAAACAUAUCGGCUAAUAUGUUGCACAUUCAAUAUGUGGAAGAUAUAAACAAAACAUAAAUAUAGAUAGAUUAUCUUUCCAUUAGGUUGAGCCAUCUGAUCUGACAAAUGUUUCAAAUACUACACUCAUGAUCUUAUUAUCCGUCAACUUUGUCUUGCUCACUAUGCUUAAGGUUAGAGAAGAACAAAUAUACUUUUGGUUCUGUUGGUGUUUUCCACCAACAGAGCCCAUGCACUUGAUCUCUGCCUUGUCUCUAUGAACAGGUACACUUCAAGCAAAACAUGGAGGAAUUUUACAACUCCCAGACUCCACCAAGUGAAGGACCUGGAUCUAUGAGCACAAACACACUGAGCAGGAAAUUGCCAACACCAUACUUCGAACUGCUGGGCAAAGAAGAACAUGGGUGACACCGUAUCAAGAGGUGCAGCCGCCAAGGUCCACACCUAAUCAAAUAAUGCACCUAAAGGAUGAAGAUGGUGGAAAGUAUUGUCCAGAAGACUUAAAACAUUAGAUCCUUGUCGGAAGAGGUCAACAUCAUCGACUCAAGUCACCUUUCUUAAUCAAGAAGGACGACCCUAGUGUUCCAAGCAUCGAGUGCGCAAUCAAUGGAUACUCUUUUCAGAAGACACUCUACGACACCGGAUCUGACGACAACAUAAUGGCCGCAGUCAUUUAUCAGCCUGCAUGGAACCAUGCCCCUACAACCAAUAUAUUCAGCUCCAGAUGAUUUUCAGGUCAUUGACAUGGGAGAAGACGAAUAUGAUCCACCCACCAUCCUUGGAAGACCGUUCCUCAACACUAUCAAAGCAAUCAUCUACAUUGGAACCGGAGAAGUCCACAUGUACUUCCCCUCUGAGAAGGUACGCAACUAUUUUACUAACCAUAACUAUAUAGUUGAAGACUCUAAGCAGGUCAGGACAAGAAGACGACGCAACCGCAACCAGAGGAGGCAAAUCAUCAAGAACGGAUGGGUAGACUACGAAGGAGAAGUGAUAAGGACUGACAGCUUGAACAGGACUGUCCUGAGGAGACCGUAGCACCGAGUCAGGUGUGGAGGGAGAAGAUAGUUAUACACGAAGAGAGGCGCCGCCGGAAUCACCGACUACGCCACCUAGCGAAUCCCAGGACGACUGAGAAAAUAGAGAGUCCCGUUCGGAGGACUUAAAAAUACCGAACGCCUUGCCAAGAGGUAAACUUGGUAGUUACCCUUUCCUUUCAAUUAUUUAAUUAUAAUUUGCUUAGUUAAUCAGGUUCAUGCUAUCUUGAAAAGAAAAUAAAAAUGUUAAAAAAAAUAGUAAGCCCCAUGUGAGUAUGCUCAUGGCAUAAAACCCAUAAGUACAUUCACUAUGGUGGCAUAAAAAUAAAAUAAAUAAGUUUUCAUCUUACAAUAAAAAUAUAAAUAUAAAUAAUAAUAAUAAUAAUAAUAAUAAUAAUAAUAAUAAUAAUAAUAAUAAUAAUAAUAAUAAUAAUAAUAAGUGUAUGAUCCUGCUAAAUAAAUAACAUUUAUUAAGGAAGCUCAACAUGAUGAAGGCCAGAUAUUUAUGCUAACACUUAAUUAGUUCCACAAGCUUUGUUGUCUAUUUGAGCUCCAUAGAACUUGAGAAUCAAGAAGACUAGCAGACGGAGGAUAUUCUAAUCGCUGUCAGAAUGCUGCUGACUUUCAAAUACACCUCUGCCACCUGCUAGCUACAUCAAGAGAAAUUACGUCAAAAUUCAGCUUCGGAGAGAGCACCCCCAUUAUUCUCGCUAAGUAUUUCUACCUAUCUUUAUACUUAUAUUAUGUUAGAAUAUUAAAAUACAUAAACUAUGAAAAAACAAAAUAAAGAUUUUGUGCUUAUAUAUAUAUAUAUAUAUAUAUCUUUUGCUUAGUAUGUUUAAUAAAUAAAUAAAGUGGCUAUUAAUCUGAAUCUUAAUAAUAAAACUCUAGCACGGA
rnacentral:lncRNA from 1 species